rnacentral:misc_RNA from 1 species
AGUCGUAACAAGGUUUCCGUAGGUGAACCUGCGGAAGGAUCAUUACCGAGUGAGGGCCCUCUGGGUCCAACCUCCCACCCGUGUCUAUCGUACCUUGUUGCUUCGGCGGGCCCGCCGUUUCGACGGCCGCCGGGGAGGCCUUGCGCCCCCGGGCCCGCGCCCGCCGAAGACCCCAACAUGAACGCUGUUCUGAAAGUAUGCAGUCUGAGUUGAUUAUCGUAAUCAGUUAAAACUUUCAACAACGGAUCUCUUGGUUCCGGCAUCGAUGAAGAACGCAGCGAAAUGCGAUAAGUAAUGUGAAUUGCAGAAUUCAGUGAAUCAUCGAGUCUUUGAACGCACAUUGCGCCCCCUGGUAUUCCGGGGGGCAUGCCUGUCCGAGCGUCAUUGCUGCCCUCAAGCACGGCUUGUGUGUUGGGCCCCCGUCCCCCUCUCCCGGGGGACGGGCCCGAAAGGCAGCGGCGGCACCGCGUCCGGUCCUCGAGCGUAUGGGGCUUUGUCACCUGCUCUGUAGGCCCGGCCGGCGCCAGCCGACACCCAACUUUAUUUUUCUAAGGUUGACCUCGGAUCAGGUAGGGAUACCCGCUGAACCUAAGCAUAUCAAUA